UAAGACGAACCGUGCGAACGUUGUUCGGAAUCACUGGGCUUAAAGGGCGCGUAGGCGGGCGACCAAGUCAGGGGUGAAAUCCUCCGGCUCAACCGGAGAACAGCCUUUGAUACUGGUCACCUCGAGGGAGGUAGGGGCAUGUGGAACUUCCGGUGGAGCGGUGAAAUGCGUAGAUAUCGGAAGGAACGCCGGUGGCGAAAGCGACGUGCUGGACCUCUUCUGACGCUGAGGCGCGAAAGCUAGGGGAGCAAACGGGAUUAGAUACCCCGGUAGUCCUAGCCCUAAACGAUGGGUACUAGAUUGAAGGCUUCCAUGGGCUUGCAGUCGAAGCAAAAGUGAUAAGUACCCCGCCUGGGGAGUAUGGUCGCAAGGCUG
rnacentral:rRNA from 1 species